rnacentral:lncRNA from 1 species
UUUUCCAUUUUUGAGUGCAUUUGAAUUGUUGCUUAUCGGUACACGGAUUGCACGGUUUGUUGCUCAGACAUUACCACCAAUUUUAAAUUUUUAACAUAUUCUAAAACAAGUUUACAUAAGUAAACUCUCAUAAAACUAGAUAAAAUGUCAUAACUAAAUACAGAAAUUUUCCAAAACGAGGGUGUCACUAAGUACAUGAGCCUCUAUAUAAUGACAUAGUCUGAUACACUGUCUAAAAAGUAGAACUGAAUAAAUAAAACUGAAAGAUACGGGGAGGAAGGUCAAGGUCUGUGAAUGCCAUAACAGCUACCUCGAUGAUCUCCGAAUAGGUAAAAACUCCACGAUCAACAACCACCGUGCCCGGAAAUGUCUGGAUCUGCACAGGAGGUGUAGGGUAUAGUAUGAGUACAAUUAACUCAAUAAGUAUCGCAAUUAAACAAGGCAAGAUAAGAGAAGAUUAAAUUAUUUAGGAUACUAGUUGAUUCAGAGUGAUUCUGUCCCAUUAGACCAACACAGUAUAAUAUUUAAACCUAACUCAUAAGGCUUCGUGAGAAGAAUAUUUGUGUGUACACGUGCAUUGUUUUUUCAAAAUACCCCGCUCAACAAUAUUAUGGCAUGUAGAGGAAAGAAACAAGUGAAUAAGAUAAAUGAUCAAGGAAAUACAAGUUCCACACACUGCACAGACAACUCACGUGAUGCACGGACAACUCACGUGCUAACGAUAGAACCUGCACGGAACACUCACGUGCGACACGAACAACUCACGUGUCAAUAAUAUCAAUAUAUGAAUCCACAUGGAUAAGUCACGUGCUGUACGGAUAACUCAUGUGCCAAUAAUAUGAAUACAUGGAUCCGCACGGACAACUCACGUGCUACACGAACAACUCACAUGCCAAUAAUAUCAAUACAUGGAUCUGCAUGGAUAACUCACGUGCUGCACGGACAACUCACAUGCCAAUAACAUAAUCCGCCCGGCAUAGCCGCAGGCCCCAGUCCAACAAUAUCAUACAUAAGCAAUAAAACAAGUAUACAGGUAUAUGAUGAAUGAAAUAAGAUUCUCAUGUCACUGGAUUGGUGUAAAUAACAUGCUAAAGUGUAGGCAUGUCCAUAGUGUUCUAUCAUAGCUCAAACCGGAAAUUUUAUCAAUGAAAAGCAUUUAUUAAGCUCGUUCAGGGGUUAAACCUCUAAGUAGCCUCAUCAGGGCUCAACUAGAUCACAUAAACUGUUACGAUAUGUGAGAUAUCAAAGCUUAAAGCUUAACAGUGCUUUAUGGGCUUAUAAGAUCCCGAGCACAACCCAAACAUCAAUAUAUAAUCCCGGUGCCUGCACAUGGGAUCAUCCCCAAUAAUGUCCGUAACCCAAAGGCACGUGGUUAUCAUAACAAUUUAGGCAACUAGUGCCUCAACCGAGUUUAAAUAUGAUACUUACCUCAAACCGAGAAAAUCUCUACUCCAACAAGCCCUUGCCUCGCGAGUCGGCCUCCGAAUACCUCGAAUCUAGCCAAAAACAAUUUUAUACAAUCAACACGAGCUAAAUGAAUCAAUUCCAUAUGAAAUUACUAAGUUCUUAAUCAAAAGUCAAAAAGUUAACUCAAAAGUUGACCCUCGGGCCCACGUCUCGAAAUCCGAUAAAAGUUAUAAAAUUCGGAAGCUCAUUUAACCACGAGUCCAGCCAUACAAAAUUUACCAAAAUCUAACACCAAAUCGUCAGUCAAAUCCCCAAAUUAAACUCUCCAAAUCCCUAGCCUCAAACUCCCAAAAUUCUACCUCCAAACACACAAAUUAGGUGGGAAAUUUAAUGGGGAAACAAUAUUAUUGAAUAAGUAUGAUCACAACUGACUUACCUCAACAAAUCAUUCGAAAUACCUCUUAAAAAUUUACUUAGACCAAGUUUGAAAAGUCCAAAAAUGAGAAAAAUCACGAAACCCUUAAAUUUAAUGUUCUGCCUAGUGCCUUCUCACCUGCGGAAUCGCUUUUGCAAUAAUAGUACCGCUUCUAUGGAAGUCACUUAAGUCCACAGGGUCCGCACCUGCGCUCCAAGUUCCGCACAUGCGGAAGCACUUGUGCGACCCUCGAUCCGCUUCUGCGAAGACAGCCUACACUCCCUUUCUCCGCAUCUGUGGGCUCGCAGAUGCAAAAGACCCCUAGCAUCUGCGUCACACCCCAAGCAAGCCCAUCUCCGCUCCUGCGCUACAUCAGCUGCACCUGCGGCCAAUCUCCUCGCAGGUGCGAUCACACCAGAAGGCUCCCAGCUUCAGUAAUUCUCUAAGUCCCAUUUUCAAUCCGAUAACCAUCUGAACUCCACCCUAGGGCCCCUCAAUACCUCAACCAAACACACCAAUAAGUCCUAAAACACGAUACGAACUUAGUUGAGCCCUCAAAUCUCAUCAAACACCAUCAAAACCCAAAUCGCACCCCAAAGCCUAAUAAAAACUAAGGAAUUCCAACUUCUACAAUCGAUGCUGAAACCUAUCAAAUCUAAGUCUGAUUGACCUAAAAUUUUUCACACAACUCAUAAAUGACACAACAGACCUACUCCAACACCCAAAACCAAAAUCCGAGCCCAGUAACCACAAAGUCAACUCUCGAUCAAACUUCUAAAUUUUCAAAGCUUUUUUCAACUUUUGCCAUUUCAAGUCUAAUUCAACUACGGAACUCCAAAUCACUAUCCGGACACACUACUAAGUCCAAAAUCACCCAACGGAGCUAUCGGAAUCAUCAAAACUCUAUUCCGGAGUUGUUUACACAAUAAGUCAACAUCUGGUCAACCUUUUCAACUUAAGCUCCCAACCUUGAGACUAAGUGUCUCAUCGCAUUUCGAAAUAUCCCCGGAACCGAAUCAACUACCCGGCAAGUCACAUAACAACAAUUAAGCAGUAAAUGGGGGAACGGGGCUACAACACUCAAAAUGACCGAUCGGGUCGUUACACUUAAACUCACACGGGCAAAAUUAGGGCUUCAAUUCAUAGACACAAACAAAAAAAUGUAAAUUCAUGCACCAGAUACUUCAGAGAGAAGAAGCCAAAGUGACAUUAAACACACAGAGAAAAACACACGGCAUCUCACGAGUUCAACAAAAAAUUGAGAGGAUAAGAAGAUAUUACCAAACUUCUUCAAAAACUUGAAAAGCAAGAGCCUUCUGCAUCAAAAUCAGAGGACAAAGCAGAAACACCUUAGAAUGAACAGAAACCACCAAAAAACACCAAAAACACAUUGUCACAGCCUCGUCGGAGAAAACAGAAUCAGCAAAAUCAAAUGUAAAGGGUAGGAUCGCUGGAAAGGCCGUGAUCUAAGGAAUCCAUUGAUGGCUCUAAUACCAUGAAAACAUGAAGGAUCGAAGCAGAUUUAAGGUAAAAUGUAAAUGCAAACCCUAGUUCUAACAGUCUCUGAGAGAGAACAAAAGGGAAAACAAUUUUCUCUUUUUAUUCGAUAGUCAACCCAUCUGUACAAAAUGAACGAGAGCUCUCUAAUUACAACAAGUGAACCGGG